CUCUUCCGAUCUGGCUCCUCGUCUGUAUUUUUUCCUGUUAAACGUAACAAGGUAUCGGUCGAAACGGAGAGUAACUUCACGAAAGGCGCCAUGAUAAUGGCAAGAAUGUUGAUAGGAGAUGCUAUACGACAGGCCACUCCUUCCGGGUUCAUCUGACCCAAACGCUUAGGCACCAGUUCUCCUAAUACAAUGGAGAAAUAGGUCACCACGACCACCACCAACAAUAGCCCUAAACCACGAGCGGUAUUGGCUUCUACACCGAAACUUUGCGUUAACCAAUCCGCAACGGGCGUUGCCAGCGCCGCUUCGCCCACAAUACCCGAGAGAAUACCGAUGGAAGUAAUGCCUACUUGAAUGGCAGACAAGGCUCGCGUCGGCUCUUCAUUGAGCUUUAAUGCGACUUUUGCCCCGUUAUUACCUUCAUCAAUUUUGACUUGAAGGCGCGCUUUACGGCUUGUCACAAGCGCAAUCUCGCUCAUGGCAAAAGCACCGUUUAAAAGAAUUAGCACCAAAAGACAAAGAACAUUAAACCAAUUGUCCAUUUUUUAAAUGCACCGAUAAUUACAAAAGAAUUUUGAUUAAGCCCAAAAUAGCAGCUUCUACAGUUUGGGCACGGACAGAUGAACGGUCGCCACUGAACUGAAAACGUUCCACAAGCGCUCCCGCUCCACGCCGUUGCCAAGCGAUGAAAACGGUACCCACUGGCUUGCCCGGCUCUUCGCCGCCAGGUCCGGCAAUACCUGUCACGGCCACGGCAACAUCGGCUCGCGAGUGAGUAAGUGCGCCCGCGGUCAUUUCAGAAGCGCACUCUUUGCUAACCACGCCGUAUUGUUCGACCGUUUGCUGGCUGACUCCCAACAUUGUUUUCUUCGCUUCAACACUAUAAGUGACAAAGCCGCAAUCAAACCACGCACUGGAUCCUGCAACAUCCGUUAUCGCCGCAGCAAUCCCACCUGCGGUACACGAUUCUGCUGUCACGAUCAGCGCUCCUUGAGAACGAGCUACUUCACCCAAUCGUUUUGUUAGUUCAGCAACGCUGUCCAUACUCUAGAAAAAAUCCUUCAAACUAAUUAGUGCAAAAAGCACUGGGAGACUAGGAAGCAGAGGCGCCAGCCUUUGUGGAGUCAACCUUGGGAUACCGCUCUUAAAGUAUUGGAAUUCUAACCUGCGGCCAUGAAUCUGGCCGGGGGACAUUGUUAGGCGGGCAGUUUGACUGGGGCGGUCGCCUCCAAAAGAGUAACGGAGGCGCUCAAAGGUUCGCUCAGCACGGACGGAAACCGUGCCUUAGAGUGUAAACGCAUAAGCGAGCCUAACUGCGAGACCGACGGGUCGAGCAGUAACGAAAGUUGGAGUUAGUGAUCCGGCGGUAUGAGAGUGGAAUUGCCGUCGCUCAACGGAUAAAAGCUACCCUGGGGAUAACAGGCUGAUCUCCCCCAAGAGUCCACAUCGACGGGGAGGUUUGGCACCUCGAUGUCGGCUCAUCACAUCCUGGGGCUGUAUUCGGUCCCAAGGGUUCGGCUGUUCGCCGAUUAAAGUGGUACGCGAGCUGGGUUCAGAACGUCGUGAGACAGUUCGGUCCCUAUCUGUCGCGGGCGCAGGAUAUUUGAAGGGCUCUGUCCUUAGUACGAGAGGACCGGGAUGGACGUACCUCUGGUGCACCAGUUGUCACGCCAGUGGCACAGCUGGGCAGCUAAGUACGGUGCGGAUAAACGCUGAAAGCAUCUAAGCGUGAAGCCGACCCUAAGAUAAGAUAUCCCACUGAGUAAUCAGGUAAGGUCCCAGGAAGACUACCUGGUAGAUAGGCUGCAUGUGUAAGAGCAGUGAUGUUUUUAGCUUGGCAGUACUAAUAGACCGAGGGCUUGACCU
rnacentral:rRNA from 1 species